CAGUAUUAGCUACGUAGUUCCGCUUGUAUUAUCAUUUCCCCCGCACAGCGGACACGUAAACAAUUCAAACGAAAGACAACGACAUAACCUACCUUACGGAAAUGUUCAAGGAUAAGCAUAUGAGCAUUACAGGGGGAGAAGACCACUAUAAAUCUGGCCAUGUGGCCCGUCCUCUGCUCUUGGUGAACUUGCUGUUGUUGUCCAUGGAGGCAGCUCUACGUCGGGGGGACUUCCCGCUCUUCCCUCCCUCGGGGUUUAGCAUCCACCAGGAGCUCUUCCCUG